GAAGUGAAAUAUAUAUUUACAAAUAAACAAUAGAUACUCAAAGUGUAAGAACAUGACAAACGGGCGAGACCCGACAAACAAGGGCACAACCCUCACUAAGUACGAAUGUAUAAAGAACAUAUACAUAAACAAAAAAUGGUGACUUGUACUCGUGUGAUACAAGUCUAGUGACUAACAUUAAUAGAACACGUAUAGGUCACGACGCUACGAAACCAACCGGUGAAGUUUACGUCGCAGGACACGCAAAGUUGUAACUAAGGUGGAUGUACGUGCGGUCUUACUCUUGCUUCUGGAUGUCGUUUAUGAUUUUAGCUAUGUUAUGUCAAGACUCCUGUGCCUAUUUUGUGGGAUUUGGUCAUUAUAUUCCACCCUGUGUGGUGAUAUAAUAAUCAAAGCCUUGAUGUUCGUCUUUUAAAUAAAGUUGUAAACUUUUAAAACAAUUAUUAGUCAUGUGAUGUAAACACUUAUCUUGAACUA